GGUCUUUGGGCGGUCGUACUGGUGGUGGUGCUCUUCCUGGGCUUGCAGGCGUUGCUCCCGGGCUCCGCGGUCGGGGGGCAUGGGCUCCCCGCGGGCCGGGAACUGUCCAGCUGGGACCUGGAGAGCUCGGGUUGGUACCCGUAGCUUAGGGACAUCCAGACCUUGGGAACUCACUCCAUUGUUAAGGGACCGGGCGGGGGACGCGCAGCCGAUGCAGCAUAUGAACUGACUGCGGGUGACUCCGUGAGGACCCAGGCCCUGCUGGUGCUGUCCUACGCGGCUCACGCACAGCGCCUUUCCGUGCGCACCUGAGCGGCUUCUCUGGAGGCUGUGAGUCGGUCCAGUCUCUCGCCGUGGUGUGCAGUCCAGGCGGCCACAGUCCUGGGUGGACAGUCUCCUCCCACCCGCCAGCUGGGUAAGGAGGUAAAAAGAUGAAGAUGGUGGGAGCCCGAGGUUAAGAGAAUAAUUCUCUUAAAUGAGCCCACUUUGCUGACCCCCCCAUACUUUCUUUGCUAAAAAUCAGUCUGCCAGCAGCCCCGCACAGCCCAAGUGCACAGGAUGUCACGUUCCUUAGCAAAGGUCAGGCAGUCAGUGUAGGUGAUGAAUGACGGGGGUUGAAAGAGGAUGAGGUCUGGUUAUCAAACAGAACACAAGGUGUUGUUGUCCUCUACAAUCUAAUUGUGCUCCUGGGCACUCUGGGUUGCAAACACUUGACCCCCUUAUCCUUGCUCUAAGGUAUGUACAAGGAAAAGAAAGAGAAGACAAUACUUAAAAGAGGAUUCGAGGGUCUAUAAAAGAGCAACACACCUCUCUGGCAGGCACCCAGCUUUGGGGCCACUUCUGUUGCUAUCACUUUCUUAAAUAAACUUGCUUUCUAUGCCUGCCUCAGUGUUUUGCUAGUAUUUAAUCUUCAGCACCAGGGAACAAGGAUCCGUUCCUUAUCUGCAAGACCUAUAUCAGCUGUACCCAUCUAACUGCCUCCCCCCUUACAGGGAGCACCCAGACUCAUGCUGUGGCCACCCUUGCUCCUUGUGGGCAUUGGGAUUGAGUGCCUUGUCCUUGUUCGUCUAAGGAACAUGCUCCCCAGACAUUAAGUGGAGCGGUGUCUCUCCCACUACACACCAUCUGCCACCCUGAACUGGGCCACCACUCACCAAGUGUUCCAUCAAGCAUGAGGGUGUCCAUGUGGCUAUGAUCUUGUCUCUUGAGUUCUAAAAGGUUUUUGCAAGCCACUGGUUCCCAAUAGUCCUCCCUGCCCCUUGGCAGCAGGAAGUGCACCGUGGUACCCUGACUCUGAGUCAUGGAGCUGGUGACCCUGGUGUACCGGCACCUGGGAGAUGGUUGGCGCAUCUUGUGGAGGGUUUACAGGACCUGUAGCUUACCUGUGCUUCCUCAGGGAUUUGUGUCCCAUGGAUCAGUUCAGAGGAGGCAUAGAUCCCACCACGUCCAGACCUGGCUCUCCACAUCUUGGCUCAGGACUCUAGUUCCAGCAGUGCCGGGGGUGCUGCCCAGAGGCUUCAGCCCAAACACAAGUGUUGUGCAAAUGUUGUGUGAUCCUAUUGUGCAUGGCAGAUCACUGAGGGCCAGGAUCCAGUGCCUCAGAGCCUGGCAGGGAUGACCCUCUGCCCAGACCAGCAACACUGUGUGGUUCUUCAUUCCCUUUGAGCUUUCAGGCUUAGCAGCAGCACCAGCCAGAACAUCAAGUCCUGCUGGGAUCCUGACCUGGGCAGACUCUGGAUUCCUGGUUCCGUUCACCUUGCCUCUGGCUGUGUGAUCUUGGCCUGACCUGAACUUUAGGUCUUGCAGAUUCUGCAGUGCAGCUAGCAAUAACACAUUUGAGAGUUGUGCUCAUUCUAUUCAGCUUUCUGUAGGAGAAACAAAACUGGCUUGCACAACUUCACUGACCAGGUAGGGGCUCCUGGAAAAAUGACAGCCUUCUCUUCUGUUGGCUGACCACCACCUUCCUGCAGCUCUGAAGCUUGGAGUCAGCUGGCCAUCACCUCCCUGCAGCUCUGACCCCUGCCACCUGCUCUGGUCCUCCCCCUUGCUGCUGCCUUAGCUUCUUUUUUCUACUCCUGGGCCUGCUUGUAGCUGAAACAUUCAGCAACAGUAUCCCUCCACCAGAUCCUCAGCUGUUUGUCCUUAUACAGGGGAGACGGGAAGGAUGGCUCCCAUCCAUGGUUUCUCAAGAGGGGGGGUGGGUGACACUUCUGCCUCGGAGAUCAUGACACACACACCCACCUUCUUUCCAGUUCCCUUCUGCCUUUGUCAUUUCUCAGGGAUUGUGUCAUUUUUUACUUUCUGUGGUCCUGCUACAGGACUGUCUCCUGUCCCCCGUAAUCUGAGCACUGCUUCCUUUCUGUGAUACCCCCACCUCACUCUUAGGCACAGUGUUAUCUUGGCUCAGACUCACACCCAGUUCCCUAAACCACAGUCAACGAUCCAGAAAUAUAAUUUUGUAUGUUGAUCUGCUGUGCUGCAUUAAACACCAGGUGGGCAUGCUGGCCUUACCACUGCAAGUGGACCAGGUGGACCACCUCCACCUGGCCCCUCUGGCCCAGCCUCGAGGUUAACACAGGGCCUGGAGAGAGAUCCUGGUCCGGGAGGAAAGCCUUGAGGGUGUGCUGGGCCAGGUAACAGGGCUACCCUGCUCUUUGGCCUGGCGCUCAGUGGCAAUAGGCUGUCCCCCUCAGCCUCCCUGAUGUUUGAGAAGCGGGGAAUUAAUUCAAAUGUUUAUAGUUCCAGAAGUGAAAGAUUUUAGUUUACACCAGUAAAUUUUUCAGGAAUUGGGAAUAGACAAAUCUGUUAUUUUCUAUCUCUUUGCAUAAAUUGACUUUAGAAAACUAGUAGUUUUUAGAAGUGCUUGUGAAAAUGUAUAAUUAUGGAUAACAAAAUGUUUACAGAGAAAAUCUAAGGAAUGAAUUCUCACACCUUCACCUUAAGUUCUCCGUCCUAAGUUCAGGAUGUUUUCCUACCUCAGUGCUUCUGGAGGAGGUCAGGAAGCAGUUGCCUUAGUCAAGUUUGUUCUGUUCUGGUCUCCUCAGGUGCAUUCUUGUGGCCCUAGCACUUCCAACAGGCGUGUGGAAGAACACAGUGGUGACUCGUGAAGAGGUGGACAGCUUGCUCAUGCAGCGGAACGGAGGCUCCUCCAACCCCCUUUCUGGGACUGCACCCAAGCCACUCUCACUGGAAUCCCUUCAUUAGAAGGGAAGGAGGGUGGGAGAAGCCCUUUCGGCCACUGUCUUCACCCAGGGAGCCCUGGUGUGAGAGGCUGGUGCCGGCAUGUGCACUGGGAACGGGAGCCAUGUGCUCGGUCCCCGGGAGUUUCUGCAGAAACCCUUCAAGCCUACCUUGUCUCCAGCAGGCAAGGAGCCCAGUUGUGCUUGGCAUCUGGAGAUUUUUCUCUUUGCUUGAUUGUGUUGUCCCAAAGCAGAUGAAGCGCUUGAGGUGCUUGGAGAGUGGGGCACACCAGUGUGGUGUUGGGUACUUUCUGCAUUUCUAGCAGGAAAACCUUGAGAAGCCAGCACCCAGCCCACGAGCUCUGUUGGUGUGGGGCCUGAACUCCUCGGUGAAUGUUAGCCUCCACCUCCCACUCUGGACCUUCUGAGAGAUCCCCUGAUGUGUCCAUUUCCUCUUGGACACAUUCCAGUUGUAUUAAGGUCCACACAUUUCCCAGGAUAGCCAACAGGUUGACACUGCUGAGACAUUUGUCCCUAUCCCUCAUAUGAGGCUGCUUGCUGAAGAGUGGGCCUCAGUGGAAGGCUGGUUCACCUCAGAGUACCUGCUGGGGAGCACAGCCUUCAUUAGAUGUGGCUUCCACCUGCAACAGCAGCUUGAGUGUGAGAGGAGGCUCCCAGCUGUGCAUGCAGGGCCAUUCUGCAGAGAGUGGAAAUCCUCAGGGGCACAUUGGAGGAGGAGGACAGAUUGGCUGCAGGCUCCCGGGAAUGGGAGGAAGAAAGAUGGAAGUGUCCCGUGAGCACAGGAAAUGAGUGUUGAGCUGCAGUGGCCUGGAGCUCCCACCAGCUCCUCAGAGGACGCCCAGGUGGAAGCCCACACCACUACCUUCCCUGGACACAUCUCCUUGGCCACACGUCCCAGGCUGGGAAGCACAGCCUUCCCAGACAGAGACAGGGGUGAGUCAUGGCUCCUGAUUUCUCUCCAGUGGCCAGCAUAUUCUGUUCUGUAUCGCAACUAGUGACAGACUGUCUCCCUGUCUCCAAGGAAUUCAAAUUAAACUUUUCUGCAGCAACAAUGGAAAUGAAAUAUUUCAGUAAAUAAAAGUAGCAAAUUCAUCAAGGUGAAAUUCAACCAAC
rnacentral:lncRNA from 1 species